UACGAAGGGUGCAAGCGUUGUUCGGAAUUACUGGCGUAAAGCGCGCGUAGGCGGUUUGAUAAGUUGGAAGUGAAAUCCCGAGGCUUAACUUCGGAAUUGCUUUCAAAACUGUCAAGCUUGAGUAUGGUAGGGGACAGUGGAAUUCCUAGUGUAGAGGUGAAAUUCGUAGAUAUUAGGAGGAACACCAGUGGCGAAAGCGACUGUCUGGACCAUUACUGACGCUGAGGCGCGAAAGCGUGGGGAGCAAACAGG
rnacentral:rRNA from 1 species